AAUAGGGCGGCACCUUGACGGUACCUAUCGAGGAAGCCCCGGCUAACUACGUGCCAGCAGCCGCGGUAAUACGUAGGGGGCAAGCGUUGUCCGGAAUUAUUGGGCGUAAAGCGCGCGUAGGCGGUUUCUUAAGUCUGAUGUGAAAUCUUGCGGCUCAACCGCAAGCGGUCAUUGGAAACUGGGGAACUUGAGUGCAGAAGAGGAGAGUGGAAUUCCACGUGUAGCGGUGAAAUGCGUAGAUAUGUGGAGGAACACCAGUGGCGAAGGCGACUCUCUGGUCUGUAACUGACGCUGAGGUGCGAAAGCGUGGGGAGCGAACAGGAUUAGAUACCCUGGUAGUCCACGCCGUAAACGAUGAGUGCUAGGUGUUAGGGGGUUUCCGCCCCUUAGUGCUGCAGUUAACGCAUUAAGCACUCCGCCUGGGGAGUACGGCCGCAAGGCUGAAACUCAAAAGAAUUGACGGGGGCCCGCACAAGCGGUGGAGCAUGUGGUUUAAUUCGAAGCAACGCGAAGAACCUUACCAGGUCUUGACAUCUUCGGAUGUCCCUAGAGAUAGGGAGUUCCCUUCGGGGACCGAAUGACAGGUGGUGCAUGGUUGUCGUCAGCUCGUGUCGUGAGAUGUUGGGUUAAGUCCCGCAACGAGCGCAACCCUUGAUCUUAGUUGCCAGCAUUCAGUUGGGCACUCUAAGGUGACUGCCGGUGACAAACCGGAGGAAGGUGGGGAUGACGUCAAAUCAUCAUGCCCCUUAUGACCUGGGCUACACACGUGCUACAAUGGAUGGUACAGAGGGAAGCAAAACCGCGAGGUCAAGCCAAUCCCAUAAAACCAUUCUCAGUUCGGAUUGUAGGCUGCAACUCGCCUACAUGAAGCCGGAAUCGCUAGUAAUCGUGGAUCAGCAUGCCACGGUGAAUACGUUCCCGGGCCUUGUACACACCGCCCGUCACACCACGAGAGUUGGCAACACCCGAAGUCGGUGGGGUAACCAUUUGGAACCAGCCGCCGAAGGUGGGGCCAAUGAUUGGGGUGAAGUCGUAACAAGGUAGCCGUAUCGGAAGGUGCGGCUGGAUCACCUCCUUU
rnacentral:ncRNA from 1 species